rnacentral:lncRNA from 1 species
UAGGUUAAUACUAAAGUCGCCAAACGGUAAAGAAAUUGUUUAGUAAACAAGAAAACUGUGAAACAAACAAAGGUUUUAUAUUUUAGAUUCUUCAAAGUUGCACCUCCUUGCUUAAAUGACAGUUUUGCACAUCUUGGCUGGAUUUUCUCAGUCAGCUUUAUGAGGUAGAAUCACCUGAAAUAGUUUUCAGUUAACAGCUGUGCUGAACUUGUUUAGAGUUAAUUACUUGAACUUGUUGCCUCUUAAUGUGUUUGAGAGCAUCAGUUGUGAUGUGAAGAAGUAGCGUUUUUGUGCUGAAUAAAACCAAGUCAGCAACUGUCAAUCAGUAUGCUGUAUUUGUCACUCUCAUACUAUGUUUGUGUGUGUUCCUCUCUCUCUCUCUCUCUCUUUUGCUCGCUCUUUAUUUAUCUUGGAUAGUGUAUAUCAUUUACGGGAAUCAGGGAGCCCCUAUUAAAAUGUGUGAGGCUCCCUGUGAAAGGCGGGAUAUCUGCACAGAGGGCAGAGCAGCGUGUUGGACUCAGACUACCUGUUAAACUCUCUGAAACUGGGGGAACUUAAUACCUUCAGACAUCUCAGCCCAGACAGGUCUGACCGGCAGACUGUGUACUCUGUGUGUUUGACUGUGGAUGUAACAUUGACAGCAGGGUGAGGAAUGUGUGUUGUGUUUCAGCCGGUCGGGCUCUGAAGAAGCGGAGGCUGCAGAGUGAUCAGGAGCUCCAGCAGGCGGCGCUGCAGCUCAUCUCCCACAACAAUGACCUCUCUGAACUUAUGCUGGAGACUAGAGCUGGCCCUCAGGAAAGGGGAGGAGUCUGUGAUCAUACUGACGAUGUUCAGACUGCUGGAAAGAUUACAGGGUCACUUCUGGUAGGUGAGUUGCAGAGGCAGGCAGGUGAGCUGGGGGUUCCAGUGGGGGUCCUGUGUGUGAGGGUGUUGACGGAGAAGCUCACAGGAAUAAACAUGCAGGGGGACAGAGAGAUGGCCAUGAUCAAGCCUACUCAGAGGGUGAGCACACUUAUUGCUCCACUCAGAACGUCUUUUCUCCGGUACAUUUUUUUUUUUGUAUUAUGCAAAAGCUGUGGGUCAUCAGUAUCAUCUGAUGUUACUGCUACACAAAUUUUCUGUGUUUGUGGACACCCUUUAUAAUGAAUG